UGUUCUUAUUUGCCUUACUUAUUUAUGUUUUUUAACCCUAUUUUUAUUCCCCUAUUUAAGUAAUGUUUCUUACCCUAUUUACUUCCUUUGCUUCUCAUAAACCCUAGCCGUCAUCCUUAACAAAUUCACUAAGAAUAUUCUCUCCAAAUCCCUUUCAAAUUCGUGCAGAAAUCGGUAAGUUUUUAUCUCUAAUUUUUUAGUUUGUUCUAUAUCGACAUUUUCGUUCUCUGAUCCGUUCUUAUUCGUUUUGGCACGAAUCGAGAUCCGUUUGUUUGAUGCCUUAGUACCUCAGUGCUCUUCGAUUCUACGCUUGAAAUUUGUUAUUUGACUUGUCGAUUGUUCGUACCUCAGAGGCGAACCAGAGUUAGAUUACUUGCCAGGUUUCACGUGGAAAAGCAAGCAGUUUAUGAUUUGAGCAUUGGUCGAUCUCCGUUUCUUCAUUCUCGGAGGUUCUUUAUGUUAUUUUCAGAAUAAAAGAGUCGAACUGUUUUAAACUCUUAGACCG